GAUGAACGCUAGCGGGAGGCCUAAUACAUGCAAGUCGAACGGUAAGGUCCUUCGGGAUACACGAGUGGCGGACGGGUGCGUAACGCGUACGGAAUAUACCUUCAACAGGGAGAUACCUCCGGGAAACUGGAAUUAAUACCCAUAGUAUUAUAGAUUCGCAUGAAUUUAUGAUUAAAGCUCAGGCGGUUGAAGAUUAUCGUGCGUCUGAUUAGGUAGUUGGUAGGGUAAUGGCCGUACCAAGCCAACGAUCAGUAGCUGGUCGUGAGAGGAUGAUCAGCCACACUGGAACUGAGACACGGUCCAGACUCCUACGGGAGGCAGCAGUAGGGAAUAUUGGGCAAUGGAGGCAACUCUGACCCAGCCAUCCCGCGUGCAGGAAUAAGG
rnacentral:rRNA from 1 species